UACGUAGGGGGCUAGCGUUGUCCGGAAUUACUGGGCGUAAAGCGUGCGCAGGCGGUUAUGCAAGACAGAUGUGAAAUCCCCGGGCUCAACCUGGGAACUGCAUUUGUGACUGCAUAGCUAGAGUACGGUAGAGGGGGAUGGAAUUCCGCGUGUAGCAGUGAAAUGCGUAGAUAUGCGGAGGAACACCGAUGGCGAAGGCAAUCCCCUGGACCUGUACUGACGCUCAUGCACGAAAGCGUGGGGAGCAAACAGG
rnacentral:rRNA from 1 species